AUUCAUUUCCCCUUCUCUCUCCUUCCUCUCCUCUAAUUCAACCUAACUUCAUUUUCCCGGUUCUCUCUUUUCCCCUCUCUGGUUUCUCUCCUUCACCUCUCUGGUUCUUCUCUGGGCGCGAAAACUUCCUUUACCACACCGCACUGUUGUUCCCCCACCGCCGCAUCGCCCCAGAUGUUCCCCCACCGCUCACCGCUGUUGUUCCCCCAGUGUUGCGUCCCUACUGUUCCACACCGUCGCGUCGCUCCUCCUUGUAUCUUAGGAGCUCAGGAACAAUACUGCUUCCACUAUGAAACCUAAUGAUUCUCUUCUUUGAUUCGGUUCCAGUAAUGCUGAGGUACUUAGUCUCAUGUUGGUCUACAGAGCUGAUGUAGUGUUGCAGCGGCUGGUGUGGGUGUUCAGGGCCGAAGUGUGCUUUGUUCUGGUCAGCAGUAGAAGGUUGUUGGAUCCUGGUUAUGUCUGGUUGCUUAAAUUCAGUUGCAAGUUUGCAAUGCUACCAAAACAAAGGGUCUUUAAAGCUAGAUGUUGCAACCGCAAAGCUGCUAAUUGUUCAGGUUUGGUAGGACUUGACAUCGGUUGACUUUUGUUGAUCUGCUAUUUGGGCUGUUGUGUUUGAUUUGCACUGCUAUGGUUGCGAUUUAGAAGCAUAUUGCUGCAAACUCUUCACUUUGAAAGAUAUUGCGUUGGAAUUCGUAAAGAUUAGCUUGCUCUACAUGGAGCUUAAGAAGAUUUAUGAGGAACAAUCAUAGCAAUCUCUAAAGAUCGUGUCAGACCAUCUCCAAGCCUGACAGCUGGAAACUGAAUGAGAUUUUUGUUACUGGUUGUGUCAUCGGGGCAUAUCUCGCCUUAGUCACUGUGUUAUUUUACUGGGUCGUAAAUGGCACAGAUUUCUUCGAGGUAAUAAAAAGGAUUAUAAAGUACUGCAGUUAUUAUAUAUUAUAUAUGGACACUUGCUUUUCCUCAUGCAUAUAUUUAUAUAUGUAAAUCAACUGUAACACGAUAAUUUGGGUGUGAGCUCUCUACCUGGAAACACAGAGAAAACUUCAUCUGCAAUAUAUAUGCAAGUUAGCAACAUUAGCCAGGCCCUCAUCUUUAUUACUCGCACUCAGAGCUGGUCAUUUCUGGAGAGAUCUGGAGAUCUUCUCAUGUCUGCAUUCGUGGUGGCGCAAUUGGUAUUCAAUAAUCCGAGGGAGCGGCUUUUUACCUUUGAGGAGAUAGAUGAAGUUCGAGAAAUGUUGGCAAACUUCAUAACCAGUGAUUGUUUUUGAUAUUUUAUAGUACAGAAUCUUAAAUUAUGGAUGCUAGCUAGUUUUUCAUAUAAUUGUAAUGUUAUCGACUUUUAUAUUUACAAUUAUAUACGAUUUAUUUUAAUUAUCUAUAUAAUUGGAUACUUUUUAUAUGA